CUUUCGGAGGUGAGCGAGGCGCCGGGUUGCGUCUUUUUACCCAUCGUUGGGCCGCUAAAGGCCGGGCUACCUUCUUCCUGGGCCCGUGGGAGGGCAUUAUGAGGCACCCUCCUCUGAGGAAGGAGCAGUUCGGAGGAAACAGUUUACAAGAGCCAGAUGGAAUAUAUUGUCAUCUACAAUUAUGAAAGUCUGUUUUAGAAGUAUACAGAACAAUGAAUGUAUCUUCCAAUGUGAAGCAGGAUCAAGCACAGCACAGAGAGUCAACUGAACUACCUGACUUUGCAGUAUAUGUGAUGGAUAGGCAAUGCCUGAGUUGUUUCUUGAUGCUUAUAUAAGAUUAAAGGUAAGGCAUGGUAAGUGAUACUGUACCUUGAAAUUUUAGGUCUAUUUUUUCAUAAUUCAUGUAUUUAUAGCUUUGAUAUUUUUCUGAUAUGGCAACGUUAGAGUUCUUUUAAAAAAUAAGCUUCACUAAAGUUGAUAGAAUUUAUGGGUAAUCCCUGACUUAUGACUAUUUCUUGAUUAUUUUAAUUAAAAAUGGUGAAGAAAGUAACUUACAACUGGUCUUUGCACUUACAACCCGUCACGGGGUCCCCAUGAUCACGAUUGCGACACUUUGCAGUUUUGCAUAUAUUUACAACAGUUGCAGCA